AUCCAUACAGAAAAUCCUUCCACCUAGGAGGGUUUUUGACAAACUGCAACCACCAGUUUUAGUUAGUGCUUUUAAGUUUUAAUUCUAUUGUAUGAUAAGGCCACCUAACCCUGUGAGAUAAACACUAUCUUUCUAAAGAAAAGUGCACAGUCCUACUUUUUUGAUUUGCUUGUGAAUUGCUGCGGGUCUUUUUUGUUUGAUUGUUGUUACUAAAUUCAUUUAAAUCAAUUGUUCUUGUUAUUGUAAUUAUAUAAUUUAAUUAAAUAUUAUAGAAAGUGAAUGAAAGGUGAAUACAGAAGAAGAAUUGUAGCUUCUUGGAAAAAUAAAUUGAAUGCAUUCAUUGCUUUAUUAAAUGCUUUAUUGAGCAAAAUCUUUUUAAAAUUAAAUGAAGAAGAGAGAUAAGGUUGAAAGGUUGUAAAAUAAUUGUAAAAAUGUAGAGGAUUCUGACUAAAUUUGCUACCUCAUCUGAUAUUUAUGUUAUCCUCAAUAAAUGAUAGCUAUUAUGUGUUGUUUUGAAGAAUAAAUAACCAGGUAGACAGCACAUAUUAUGUUCCUUUUCUUUUGUCAUUGUACUGACAGUUGAAACAGAACUUGGAUGGGAGGGGAGAGAUUGUGUUUAAACUUUCAAGGCAUGAAAAAAAUGUUUCUCUAACAAAUAUCUUCUAAUUACCGUCUUAGGCGGCUGCGUUGAUUCCUCCAAGCUUUGAUGGGCACAGACUGUCAAAAGUUAGCCCAUAGUCAUCAAUCCCAUUCCAUAAAGAAAGAACCACAGGAAGUGGGAGGCUUAGGGGAGCAGCAAUCGGAAGAGCUGGAGAGCAGAACUGAAAUGAACUGAAGACGAGUGAGUACCAAAUAGAACCAUUCGGCCAUGAGCAUCAUUAUAAUCAUAGUGAGUAUUCGUUUUGUUCUUAGUGCAUCCCAUGCACUAUCCUUAGAGCCUUACAUAAGUUAACUCAUUAAAUCUUCACCACAACUCUAUGAGGGAGGUAUUAUUUUGUUAUUCCCAUUUCAUAGUCAAUAAAAAGACUGAGGCAGAGAGAUUAGAACCUGCC
rnacentral:lncRNA from 1 species